rnacentral:rRNA from 1 species
GGCCUUUUGAAUUUAAUUUAAGGUCUGACCUGCCCAGUGAUGAAUUUAACGGCCGCGGUAUAUUGACCGUGCAAAGGUAGCAUAAUCAUUAGUCUUUUAAUAGAGGGCUGGAAUGAACGGUUUAACGAGGAACUGACUGUCUCAUUUUAUUUGUUUUAAAACUUAAUGUUUUAGUUAAAAAGCUAAAAUUUUAUUGGAAGACGAGAAGACCCUAUAGAUCUUUAUAUAAUUUUUUAUAUUUAUUUAUAAACAUAAGUAUAUAAAAAUUUUAUUUUGUUGGGGUGACAAAAAUAUAUAAUCAACUUUUUUAUUUAUUUACCAUUGAUUUAUGAAUAUUAGAUCCACUAUUAGUGAUUGUUAGAAUAAGUUACCUUAGGGAUAACAGCGUAAUCCUCUUCCAGAGUUCAUAUUUACAGGAGGGCUUGCGACCUCGAUGUUGGAUUAAGAUAAUAAUUAGGUGUAGCUGCUUAAUUUAUAGGUCUGUUCGACCUUUAAAUUCUU